rnacentral:pre_miRNA from 1 species
AUGAAAGUGAAGAAGUACAGACUUAAAGUGAUGUUCAUAAAGUAGAUUUAACUAAACAUCACUGCAAGUCUUAACGUCCUCACUCUCAAAG